rnacentral:rRNA from 1 species
GUGUCAGCAGCCGCGGUAAUACGGGGGGUGCAAGCGUUGUUCGGAAUUAUUGGGCGUAAAGAGCGUGUAGGCGGCUAGGUAAGUCAGAUGUGAAAGCCCUGGGCUCAACCCAGGAAGUGCAUUUGAAACUGCUUGGCUAGAGUAAGGGAGAGGAAAGUGGAAUUCCUGGUGUAGAGGUGAAAUUCGUAGAUAUCAGGAGGAACACCGGUGGCGAAGGCGACUUUCUGGCCCUAUACUGACGCUCAGGCGCGAAAGCGUGGGGAGCAAACAGGAUUAGAUACCCUGGUAGUCCACGCCGUAAACGAUGUUCACUAGGUGUUGGGGGUAUUGACCCUCUCAGUGCCGUAGCUAACGCAUUAAGUGAACCGCCUGGGGAUUACGGCCGCAAGGCUAAAACUUAAAUGAAUUGACGGGG